rnacentral:rRNA from 1 species
UACGUAGGGUGCGAGCGUUGUCCGGAAUUAUUGGGCGUAAAGAGCUCGUAGGCGGUUUGUCGCGUCGGCCGUGAAAACUUGGGGCUUAACCCCGAGCCUGCGGUCGAUACGGGCAGACUAGAGUUCGGUAGGGGAGACUGGAAUUCCUGGUGUAGCGGUGAAAUGCGCAGAUAUCAGGAGGAACACCGGUGGCGAAGGCGGGUCUCUGGGCCGAUACUGACGCUGAGGAGCGAAAGCGUGGGGAGCAAACAGG